GACGAACGCUGGCGGCGUGCUUAACACAUGCAAGUCGAACGGAAAGGCCCUGCUUUUGUGGGGUGCUCGAUUGGCGAACGGGUGAGUAACACGUGAGCAACCUGUCCUUGACUUUGGGAUAACUUCAGGAAACUGGGGCUAAUACCGGAUAGGAGCUCCUGCUGCAUGGUGGGGGUUGGAAAGUUUCGGCGGUUGGGGAUGGACUCGCGGCUUAUCAGCUUGUUGGUGGGGUAGUGGCUUACCAAGGCUUUGACGGGUAGCCGGCCUGGGAGGGUGACCGGCCACAUUGGGACUGAGAGACGGCCCAGACUCCUACGGGAGGCAGCAGUGGGGAAUAUUGCGCAAUGGGCGGAAGCCUGAUGCAGCAACGCCGCGUGCGGGAUGACGGCCUUCGGGUUGUAAACCGCUUUCGCCUGUGACGAAGCGUGAGUGACGGUAAUGGGUAAAGAAGCACCGGCUAACUACGUG
rnacentral:rRNA from 1 species